rnacentral:rRNA from 1 species
AUUGAACGCUGGCGGCAAGCCUAACACAUGCAAGUCGAACGAGUGGCGGACGGGUGAGUAAUGUCUGGGAAACUGCCUGAUGGCGGGGGAUACCUACUGGAAACGGUAGCUAAUACCGAAUACCAUCCGAUGUGACCAGAUGGUAUUAGCUAGUAGGUGGGGUAAAGGCUCACUUAGGACACGCUCCCUAGCUGGUCUUAGAGGGUGACCAGCCACACUGGAACUGAGACACGGUCCAUACUCCGACGGGAGGCAGCAGUGGGGAAUAUGGCACAAGGGGCGCAAGCCUGAUGCAGCCAUGCCGCGUGUAUGAAGAAGGCCUUCGGGUUGUAAAGUACUUUCAGCGGGGAGGCGUUACCCGCAGAAGAAGCACCGGCUAACUCCGUGCCAGCAGCCGCGGUAAUUC